UACAGAGGUCUCAAGCGUUGUUCGGAUUCAUUGGGCGUAAAGGGUGCGUAGGCGGCGCGGUAAGUCGGGUGUGAAAUCUCGGAGCUUAACUUCGAAACUGCAUUCGAUACUGCCGUGCUUGAGGACUGGAGAGGAGACUGGAAUUUACGGUGUAGCGGUGAAAUGCGUAGAUAUCGUAAGGAAGACCAGUGGCGAAGGCGGGUCUCUGGACAGUUCCUGACGCUGAGGCACGAAAGUGUGGGGAUCAAACAGG
rnacentral:rRNA from 1 species